CCUACGGGAGGCAGCAGUGAGGAAUAUUGGUCAAUGGACGGAAGUCUGAACCAGCCAUGCCGCGUGCAGGAAGACGGCUCUAUGAGUUGUAAACUGCUUUUGUACAAGGGUAAACCUGAAUACGUGUAUUCAGCUGAAAGUACUGUACGAAUAAGGACCGGCUAACUCCGUGCCAGCAGCCGCGGUAAUACGGAGGAUCCAAGCGUUAUCCGGAUUUAUUGGGUUUAAAGGGUGCGUAGGCGGAUUGAUAAGUUAGAGGUGAAAUGUCCGGGCUUAACUCGGGAACUGCAUCUAAAACUGUUGUUCUAGAGAGUAGGUGCGGUAGGCGGAAUGUAUGGUGUAGCGGUGAAAUGCUUAGAGAUGAUACAGAACACCGAUUGCGAAGGCAGCUUACCAAUCUAUAUCUGACGUUGAGGCACGAAAGCGUGGGGAGCAAACAGGAUUAGAUACCCGGGUAGUC
rnacentral:rRNA from 1 species